UACGAAGGGGGCUAGCGUUGUUCGGAUUUACUGGGCGUAAAGCGCACGUAGGCGGAUCGUCAAGUCGGGGGUGAAAUCCUGGAGCUCAACUCCAGAACUGCCUUCGAUACUGGCGAUCUUGAGUCCGGAAGAGGUGAGUGGAACUCCUAGUGUAGAGGUGGAAUUCGUAGAUAUUAGGAAGAACACCAGUGGCGAAGGCGGCUCACUGGUCCGGUACUGACGCUGAGGUGCGAAAGCGUGGGGAGCAAACAGG
rnacentral:rRNA from 1 species